rnacentral:rRNA from 1 species
UAGAGUUUGAUCCUGGCUCAGGAUGAACGCUAGCGACAGGCUUAACACAUGCAAGUCGAGGGGCAGCGGGGUAGUGCUUGCACUACUGCCGGCGACCGGCGCACGGGUGAGUAACACGUAUGGAACCUGCCCGCAGCAGGGGGAUAAGCGGAAGAAAUUCCGUCUAAUACCGCGUAACAACGUUGGGAGGCAUCUCCCGAUGUUUAAAGAUUUAUCGGCUGCGGAUGGCCAUGCGGCGCAUUAGCUAGUCGGCGGGGUAACGGCCCACCGAGGCGACGAUGCGUAGGGGUUCUGAGAGGAAGGUCCCCCACACUGGUACUGAGACACGGACCAGACUCCUACGGGAGGCAGCAGUAAGGAAUAUUGGUCAAUGGACGCAAGUCUGAACCAGCCAAGUAGCGUGCAGGAUGACGGCCCUCCGGGUUGUAAACUGCUUUUAGUUGGGAAUAAAAGGGGGCUCGUGAGCCCCGUAUUGUAUGUACCAUCAGAAAAAGGACCGGCUAAUUCCGUGCCAGCAGCCGCGGUAAUACGGAAGGUCCGGGCGUUAUCCGGAUUUAUUGGGUUUAAAGGGAGCGUAGGCCGGCUUUUAAGUCAGCUGUGAAAGUCCGCGGCUCAACCGUGGAAUUGCAGUUGAAACUGGAGGCCUUGAGUGCACACAGGGAUGCCGGAAUUCAUGGUGUAGCGGUGAAAUGCUUAGAUAUCAUGAAGAACUCCGAUCGCGAAGGCAAGUGUCCGGGGUGCAACUGACGCUGAGGCUCGAAAGUGCGGGUAUCAAACAGGAUUAGAUACCCUGGUAGUCCGCACCGUAAACGAUGAAUACUCGUGUCCCGCGAUAUAUUGUGGGACACUUAGCGAAAGCGUUAAGUAUUCCACCUGGGGAGUACGCCGGCAACGGUGAAACUCAAAGGAAUUGACGGGGGCCCGCACAAGCGGAGGAACAUGUGGUUUAAUUCGAUGAUACGCGAGGAACCUUACCCGGGCUUGAAUUGCAGAGGAAAGAUCCAGAGAUGGUGAUGCCCUUCGGGGCCUCUGUGAAGGUGCUGCAUGGUUGUCGUCAGCUCGUGCCGUGAGGUGUCGGCUUAAGUGCCAUAACGAGCGCAACCCCUUUCCCUAGUUGCCAUCGGUUCUAGCCGGGCACUCUGGGGACACUGCCUCCGCAAGGAGUGAGGAAGGUGGGGAUGACGUCAAAUCAGCACGGCCCUUACGUCCGGGGCUACACACGUGUUACAAUGGGUGAUACAGAGGGCCGGCCGCUGGCAACAUCGGUCCAAUCCUUAAAGUCAUCCUCAGUUCGGACUGGGGUCUGCAACCCGACCCCACGAAGCUGGAUUCGCUAGUAAUCGCGCAUCAGCCAUGGCGCGGUGAAUACGAUCCCGGGCCUUGCACACACCGCCCGUCA